CGUUGGGAUCGGGCGGUCGCCGCCCGGGGAGCUUACGCCGGCUUAGCCGGAGAGUGCUUUUCGGGGGGAGGAAAGUCCGAACUCCACAGAGCGGUGUGCCGGAUAACGUCCGGGAGCGGCGGCUUUAAGGUCGUCCGACGGAAAGUGCCACAGAGAAUAUACCGCCUCGCGAGAGGUAAGGGUGAAAAGGUGCGGUAAGAGCGCACCGGGCGUUCAGUAAUGAACGUUGCAUGGCAAACCCCACACGGAGCAAGACCAAAUAGGGGCGGAUUGAGGCGGGAUGCGCAAGCAUUGCGCCUCAGCGAGCUGGCUCGGUUCGCCAAACGUCCGGGUAGGUCGCUUGAGCGGCGUGGUAACGCGUCGCCUAGAGGAAUGAUCGCCACGGCAGCAAUGCCGUACAGAAUUCGGCUUACAGGUCCCAACGCUUC
rnacentral:RNase_P_RNA from 1 species